rnacentral:tRNA from 1 species
UUGUUACUUUGGCAGAUUAGUGCUUUUAAAUUUAGAAUUUAAUUAUGUAUGUGUAGUACAGGUAAUAC